UACCUCAAAUGCAUUAGGUAGGUUCAAAACAUGUUCAGCUGAUAACACCCAAGGGUAGAGAGGCUGCUACAGGAAUAAAUGUGUCUUUCAUGUGUGGUGGGGACUCAAUAUUAGAACCAGCUGCCUAUAAGUCAUUCUUUAUUUAGGUUCAAUUAUGAAUUAAAGAACAACUGAUUUAAUGAAGGAACUUUUUAUAUCUGAAGUUACUCAGCUGUGGUAUUCGUUCUCCUCUUCCCCAUCUUUUUUAAGGGAUCAAAUUGAAAAUGUUAAGUAGGUGAACAGCUCUUUUAAAAAAAAAUGUUUCUUUUCUUCUCCCCUCAUGCUUGUCUUUUGUUCUCCUAAUGUUUGAAGAAUGCAAGGUCUGUGGUAUUAAAGGAAGUAACAAAAAUGUGCUAAACACAUCAAAAAGUCUCCAAUCUGUAUCUUAUUUAUGCCCACGCAUUCUCUACCAUGGAUGUCUUCUCUGUGGUUGGAGAGAGCUCAGGGUAAGAAUCUCUGGCGAAAUAAUAGAUUUGGGUCAAGUGGUGGGCUGAUGUCAUGGGCGGCCUGUGUCUCACUGCUAAUGAGCUGCCAAUAACAGGUCUGUUUUACUGUUCUGCUGGAAGAAAAAAAAAAGAGUUAUAACCUUAGUGGUUUGGACUGAUUUGUCAAUUUAAAGUAUAAUUUUUUUCUACAUCUGAGCUAUCUACCCACAAUUUCAUACAGACAUCUUCUUGCGCAGGCCAUUUGCUAAAGGGAGGAAAUCAUGAUUCAGAGGGCCUGCAAGCCUGUUACGGAACCUAGACCAGCCUUCUCUGGAGGGGACACACAUCUUUGUCUAAAGCUUAGCAAACACCAGCAUCCAGAGGCCAGCCAGUAGGAAAUCCCGAGCGGGUCACAGAGUCUGGCAUCCUUGAGAACUGAACUCAGCACCUCCCCCAGACAGCUGUCCCUGCCCUGAUCUGCUUUUGACAGACACUGUCUUUUUGAAAGAGCAAGAGAGGAGAAGCUGCUAUGACCCAACUGAAAAGGGCCACUGAAUCAUACAAGAAAGAAAAAAUGCCUCAGUUCUCUGCUACUACCAAGUGCCCAGAAAGGUGCCAGAGGCAUCAUGACAUAAUGGAAGGAACACUGGCCAUGGAGUCAGAGGACUUGAGUUCCAGUCCCAGCCAUUCACUGGCUUUGUCACUAUGGCCAAGUCAUGUUCUCCCUUUUCUACUCUGUAGAGAAGGAGUUACCAAGUAAUGGAGCUACCAAAAUAAUCGUCUCUAGGAACAGAUCUCACCAUAUCACUCCCCUGAUCUUGAAUUUUCAGUGGCUUCAUGUUGCUUCCAAGAUAAAAGAUGAACUCUCGAGCUUGACAUUCAAAGACCUCCACCAUCUGACUUCAAUCUCCCUUCCCAGCCUUAUUUCACAUAACCUCCUUUUAUGCAAUCCGUAUCCCAGACCAAAGUGACCUGUUAUCUCUUCCCCAUGCUUGACCCUCCAUCUCCCACUUCUGCUUGCACAGGAUGUCUUCUGUGCCUGUGGUGCUGCCCUCUCCAGGGAAUAUAUUCCUGGUCCCCCUCUUGUUACUGCUUUUUCUCUCCUCCAAUUACCUUGUAUUCACUUAUUUGUGUAUCUGUGGUUUCCCCCCACUCUCCAGGAGAAUGUAAACUCCUUGAAGGUAAAGAUUGUUUUGUUUUUA